AAGAUGCAGAGAGCGAAGAGAGUCUUGUAGACCAUGGUACCCUGGUGCUUGGUGCCGAACCCGGCGCGGGCAGCGGGAGAGUUUGCCGGGACUGACCGAGCGCCCAGAGCGCGGGCAGCUCCUCCUCUGUCCGCUGGCUGCGGUGGGAGCCGGGCGACCGGGCGGCGGUAGGGGAAGCUAGGCGAGCGCCGCGCGGCUCCGUCAGCUGCUUGUACUCCGGCGCCCGGCGCGCUUCUGCUCCAUCCCAGCCGCCCGGGCCGCCUCCGCCGCCGCGACUGCUGCCGCCAAACCCCUCCCACCCGGGUCCCGCGGAGAUGACAAGGCCACCCCUGGCCUUUCCUCUCCCAGCCCUCGUGUCCCGGGAGUCGCGGCCCAGGGCGGCCUCUGCUGGACAGUCAGGGCGCGAGACCCGAGUUUCGACCCGGUUCAGCAAAUGUUUGGGGCGGCUAGCGCUGUGCUGGGAACUAAGGGGAGGCAGAGAAGUGGGAGCAGAUUUCUGCCCUCAGGAAUUUACCUCAGCUUUUCUUACAGGAGUAACAACCUUCAAACACGUGACCGCGUGCCAUCUUAGGUGUCACCUCGAAGAGCCAAGACCCCACUACGGCACAUAAUCAAGGAAAACUCUGAGGUCAUGGAUAUACCUUCAACUUGAAAUGAAAUUCAAGGAUGAGGACCCUUGCACUGAGAGACGCCAGUGAUAUGAAGGCACGGAGAAGACUGUGUGAGGACACAAGGAGAAGAUGGCCAUCUGUCAGCCAAGGAGAGAGGCCUCAGGACAAACCAACCUUGUCAACACCUUGAUCUUGGACUUCUAGCCUCCAGAACUGGCACCAGGUGGCAGCUCCAAGAAGAGGAAAAUCGUUUUCAGAGCUCCCUGCUGGCUCAAUCAACGCUUUUCAGUUCUCUUAAUGAGAUGGUUAACCUCUUUUCUCAUUUAACCAAUCGGUCAACAAAACUUUGAUGGCUCUUACAGGAGUUGUUUAUGAUUUUCACUCAUACAGGUAUUAACGCCAUUGCCCUUAGAUUGACAAACAGGAAUUCAACUAAUCCUCCAGCUCUGGUUGGAAAUAGAUCCCCUUAUGGAUCUUCUACCCCAUAAAUUCUGCUAAAUUCCUGGCUGGGGCGUAACGAACAUUGCUACUUAGUCAUUUUCAGAGAAAAAGAAAUGAAAUCUGACUGGCAUACAUUAACCUGUGUGUGUGUGCUUCUUAAACACAUGUGCAAAGACACACUGACUUAUUCAUCUGACUAUUACCUUAUCUGACUUUAAAUAUGAAUGUGCAUAGCGGACUAUGGUUAAGUGAAUAUUACAUUUUUUUUAGUUAUUAAGCAGUUCUUCCUCUUCUGUCAGUCAUGUUUUAGGAAGGAUUUCAAUAAAUACUCAUUGGCUGUUUUUAUGUUUUGGUGCUUUUGUCUAAGUAAAACAUUCUCAAAAUAACAUUCACUGGGAGAUAGGACUCAAUGCAGAAAUAUUCGCUUUAAACGUACCCUUUUGUAUAUAACGCAAGGUCAUGUUCUAUUGUCAUAAUGAUCUUUAAGAUGUGGUGGAUGGAGUAUUUAGAGCGGGAGUUACAGAAAAUCAGG